UACAGAGGUCCCGAGCGUUGUUCGGAAUUACUGGGCGUAAAGGGCGCGUAGGUGGCCUUCUUAGUCAGACGUGAAAUCCCCCAGGCUUAACCUGGGAACUGCGUCUGAUACUGGAAGGCUUGAGUCCGGAAGAGGAGAGUGGAAUUCCGUGGUGUAGCGGUGAAAUGCGCAGAUAUCAGGAAGAACACCCGUGGCGAAGGCGGCUCUCUGGGGACGGUACUGACGCUGAGACGCGAAAGCGUGGGGAGCGAACAGG
rnacentral:rRNA from 1 species